ACCAUAGCAAAUGUUUUAAAAAAUAUUACUUUGUAGGGUGUUGACGGAAUGCCAGGGAAUUAAACUCUAGCAUUCAUCUCUAGGUAACAGCGUAUUCUCUUUUGACUGGAGCAACUUUAUCAAGGAGGAAAAGGUAUACAUAACUACAAAAAUGGGAUAGUUCUACCAAAUACCACUCAAACGCUGAAGUGGGAGAUUAAGGAGAGAUGUCUGGAUGACAAUUUAAGAAUACCACCAUUUCAAGAAGAGUACGUAUAUAUUUCAAGAACAGAAAAUCUACCACCAUUUGAAGAAGACAAAACUUAUAUAUUCAACCUGAAAAUUUACACAUCCAUUUAAAUUGCAGUGAAGCAAUCAACUUUUACUAUCAGAAAGUCUUCCUGAAAAGAAAUCUGAGCAUCAGUAUAAUAGCACAGCUCUCUCUACAAAACAGGAGAGUGGAUUUCCCCAUGUUCUUCACUGGAAACGUGGCAUCCACAGGUAUGGAAAACUCCAAAGAUUUAAUCUAGCUGGUACAGGGAGAAGAAA